rnacentral:lncRNA from 1 species
UUGCAUAAUAUGAAAUUGCCAAAUUUCAACUGCUUUUGAUUUAAUAAAAAGGAAAUGGCAUGCCGUUAAGUCUAAUAUAUUAAAGAUGCUAACUUGGCUAAAAGGAGCAUACUGUUUUGCUCUCAAGGAAUGCCAGUCAACAGUAUUUAUAAAGGAAGUGAGUGAUAGAUUCUGGAUUCCUUAAACUUCUGUUUAAUUCUAAGCCCUUUGACACUUUAAGAUGCAUUUAAAAAGUUCUUUAACCCACAUAUUUUUUUAAUAUGCUACACAAUCCUAAAUGUUUCCUAGUCUUUCCCUCACUCAUAGAGCUGCACGUUAAUGACAGUGAUGAACGCAGGGCACCUAAUGGCACACAAGCCCAUAUUUCUAAUAAAAUUCUAAUGUGCCCCCUGACAUCAUGCUUCAAGUCUUACCUCUGUCUUUCAGCCUCUCCUGCCUAUGCAAAUCCAUUUGGCCAAAACAACCUGAGAAAACUAGAAUUAUUUGCAAGAAUCACUGCAAAGGAGUUCAAGCAUGGAAGAAUCAUUAUUCAUAAUUUGCUGCCUAUGCCUAUGGCUGGGCCUCAAGGGCUAGUAAGCAUUGCCCCUUUCUUCACUGCCUGAGAUGGGAACCAGUCAUGCAACACACAAGACAGAAAAACGGAGAUGAAAAUAUUACCUGCAUUUAUGGUAAAAAACAGUUCUACAGUACAACUUUAGAUCUGCUAAGAGAAGAGCUUGUUAACACUCACUGUCCUUAUAUUAAACAAAUUUACCCAUCUUUAUUGGCAAAAUUAGACAAAUUCCAGCUUCCAAAAUAGGGAAAAGCACCUCCCUACAUGAAUUACUACAAACUCAAUUUUACUCUCUCUACAGGUAGAGCAAUCUGACAGAGAAAAGAGAAAAAGAGUGGGUUUGAGUCUAUCAUGCCCAACCACCUCUUCCAAAAUCGCCUAUCAAAUAAUUUAGGCCUCCUGCAAAGCAAGGGAUUUGGGUUUAGAUGACAGGAAAACAUGAAUACACAAUAACUAUGCCUCCUAAUAUUGCCCUGCUUUUUAUUCUAUUAUCCUGUUGAUCUUCAACUUUACAUUUAUGACCAAGCAGGGGUGGAACUAAUCCCAUUUCCAUCUUCAUGAGAAUGCUCUCACAAAAUCAGGUGUCCUAUUUUGUAUUUCUUGACCUCCUUGGUGAAGAGUUUAGAUUUCUCCCCAGAAUGCUUUUAAACGAGCUAGAACAAUACAUUAAUUGAUUCUAAGUCCUCUCUGUACCUAAGGAAAAGGAUCACUUCCUGUUAUAUUUCCCACCCCUGUUACAUCAG